rnacentral:rRNA from 1 species
CCUACGGGUGGCAGCAGUAGGGAAUAUUGCUCAAUGGGGGAAACCCUGAAGCAGCAACGCCGCGUGGAGGAUGAAGGUUUUCGGAUUGUAAACUCGUUUUGUGAGAGAAGAUAAUGACGGUAUCUAACGAAUAAGCACCGGCUAACUCCGUGCCAGCAGCCGCGGUAAUACGGAGGGUGCGAGCGUUAUCCGGAAUCACUGGGCGUAAAGGGCGCGUAGGCGGGCUAGCAAGUCAGAUGUGAAAUCCUAUGGCUUAACCAUAGAACUGCAUUUGAAACUGGUAUUCUAGAGUAUGGGAGAGGAAGGUGGAAUUCUUGGUGUAGGGGUAAAAUCCGUAGAGAUCAAGAGGAACACUCAUUGCGAAGGCGACCUGCUAGAACAUAACUGACGCUGAUGCGCGAAAGCGUGGGGAGCAAACAGGAUUAGAUACCCUUGUAGUC